UCUUGUUGGUUAUAUUCUCUUAGUGUUCCCAUUUUCUAGUUAAUCACUUUGUCUACUCAUUUCUUAAUUUAUUUUUGUUUCGAUAUGUUUUAUUUCUUGCUGUAUUUUCUCCCUACUGUGAUUCUCCUUCUGCUUAUUUUGUCUUCUCUCCAUCAGUUCACUCUGCCAUGAUUAGUCUCGGCUGUUUGCCAUCACCACCUGAUUACCUCCACCUGUUUUUGCCUUGUUUUUUCCACACAUUCCUCUGUAUUUAAACUCUCUGGUUUUCAUCUCUUGCCACUGGUUAGCUCCGUGUCUGUUGUUUCCAGUUUCCUCGUCCAUGCGCAAUAUCCUGUUCCUUCCGUGCAGUGCUAUGCCGCCAAGAUCCCCUGGUGUGGAGGGUAACAGGUGUGCCGCAUUUCCAUCACCUGGAGGAGUAUAAGAAGGAAUCCUCAAGUCCUAGUUUCACACUUUGGGACCUUCACCUCUGGCUCAAAGUCCUCAGUUUUGGAUCUUGCCUCAGCCUAAGUACUCAAACCUCAAAAGAAACCUAGUUUGGUUCAAUCU